UUCUUACAUUCCUUACCUCGAACAACUUGAAAUAUAUUGAACUGUGUAAUUGCAGGUUGGAGAAUAUUGAAGAGAAUGCUCAGUCAUAUGUUAAUACAGGGCAAAUCCAUGCUUCUUGUGAUGUUUGUCACAUUGUUGAGCCAGUGAAGGACAAUGAAGUAAUAAAGGAUUAGGCAUCAACGGGGCAAAUAAUGAUGGAUAAUUUAUCUUCUAUCUCAUCAUUGAGGUAACAUAUGGAUAGGGUUUUGGAGGGAAAAAAGAGAGCUGAGAGAGUGGGAGAACUGUGGUGCACUCCAUAGAUGGGGAUAUCAGCUCAGAAACUGUAUAUCUUUAUUAUCAAUGGCAAGUAGUGAUGAUUUAGUGUUAUACUACUUGCUAUCUUUGUUGAGACAACUUGAGCCCAGAAUUGUGCCAAAAGAAAUGAAAAUAUCUUUAGUACCUGGCAAAAAAUAUCUUCUGGCCUAUGUGGAUUGGGUUUGUAAAUUUCUUUGGUGUUUUAUACAGAAAGAGGCUGCUAUUCGUAUCGCA